rnacentral:rRNA from 1 species
CUUGAGCACGUAGGUGGGUUUGUAAGUCAGGUGUGAAAGCCUUCUGUUCAACGGGAGAAUUGCAUCUGAAACUACGAAUCUUGAGUGUAGGAGGGGAGAAUGGAACUUCCGGUGGAGCGGUGAAAUCCGUAGAUAUCAGAAGGAACGCCGGCGGCGAAAGCGAUUCUCUGGCCUAUUACUGACACUCAGUGUGCGAAAGCUAGGGGAGCAAACGGGAUUAGAUACCCCGGUAGUCCUAGCCGUAAACGAUGGGCACUAAGUAGAGGGGAUUACCGACGUUCUCUCUGCCGUAGCUAACGCAUUAAGUGCCCCGCCUGGGGAGUACGGCCGCAAGGCUAAAACUCAAAAGAAUUGACGGGGGCUCGCACAAGCGGUGGAGCAUGUGGCUUAAUUCGAUGCAACGCGAAGAACCUUACCGGGGCUUGACAUGGUAGAAGUAGGAACCCGAAAGGGUAACGAACGGUAUCCAGUCCGUGACUAUCACAGGUGUUGCAUGGCUGUCGUCAGCUCGUGUCGUGAGACGUUGGGUUAAGUCCCCUAACGAGCGAAACCCUUGUUUUUAGUUACCAGCGGGUUAUGCCGGGUACUCUAGAAAGACUGCCGUCGUCAAGACGGAGGAAGGUGGGGAUGACGUCAAGUCAUCAUGGCCCUUAUGCCCCGGGCUGCACACGUGCUACAAUGGUCGGUACAAACGGAAGCGAAGCCGAGAGGUGAAGCGAAUCCAAGC